rnacentral:tRNA from 1 species
CGUGGUGUAGCGCAGCCUGGUAGCGCGCUGGGCUCAUAACCCAGAGGCCGCUGGUUCGAAUCCAGCCACCGCAA